CCCAGACUCCUACGGGAGGCAGCAGUGGGGGAUAUUGCACAAUGGGGGGAACCCUGAUGCAGCGACGCCGCGUGGGUGAAGGAGCGUUUCGGCGCGUAAAGCCCUAUCGGCAGGGAAGAAGGAGGACGGUACCUGACUAAGAAGCCCCGGCUAACUACGUGCCAGCAGCCGCGGUAAUACGUAGGGGGCAAGCGUUAUCCGGAUUUACUGGGUGUAAAGGGGGCGCAGACGGCAGCGCAAGCCAGGAGUGAAAGCCCGGGGCCCAACCCCGGGACUGCUCUUGGAACUGCGCGGCUGGAGUGCAGGAGGGGCAGGCGGAAUUCCUGGUGUAGCGGUGAAAUGCGUAGAUAUCAGGAGGAACACCGGUGGCGAAGGCGGCCUGCUGGACUGCGACUGACGUUGAGGCCCGAAAGCGUGGGGAGCAAACAGGAUUAGAUACCCUGGUAAA
rnacentral:rRNA from 1 species